GAACCUUACCAGGGUUUGACAUGCAAGUGGUAGGAAACCGAAAGGCGACCGACCCCUCGGGGAGCUUGCACAGGUGCUGCAUGGCUGUCGUCAGCUCGUGUCGUGAGAUGUUCGGUUAAGUCCGCUAACGAGCGCAACCCUCGCUGCGUGUUACAAGUGUCACGUGGGACUGCCGGUCUUAAGCCGGAGGAAGGUGGGGAUGACGUCAAGUCAGCAUGGCCUUUAUAUCUUGGGCA
rnacentral:rRNA from 1 species